CUUUCCCUCUGGCGGCAGGCCUAACACAUGCAAGUCGAGCGGAUGAAGGGAGCUUGCUCCUGGAUUCAGCGGCGGACGGGUGAGUAAUGCCUAGGAAUCUGCCUGGUAGUGGGUGAUAACGUCCGGAAACGGGCGCUAAUACCGCAUACGUCCUGAGGGAGAAAGUGGGGGAUCUUCGGACCUCACGCUAUCAGAUGAGCCUAGGUCGGAUUAGCUAGUUGGUGGGGUAAAGGCCUACCAAGGCGACGAUCCGUAACUGGUCUGUGAGGAUGAUCAGUCACACUGGAACUGAGACACGGUCCAGACUCCUACGGGAGGCAGCAGUGGGGAAUAUUGGACAAUGGGCGAAAGCCUGAUCCAGCCAUGCCGCGUGUGUGAAGAAGGUCUUCGGAUUGUAAAGCACUUUAAGUUGGGAGGAAGGGCAGUAAGUUAAUACCUUGCUGUUUUGACGUUACCAACAGAAUAAGCACCGGCUAACUUCGUG
rnacentral:rRNA from 1 species